rnacentral:rRNA from 2 species
CCGCGGUGUGAACUGCAGGACACAUGAACACCGAUAAGUUGAACGCACAUUGCGCAUCGGGCGACCCAGCUCGGUGCACAUAUCUUUGAGUGCCCAUAUU